UACGUAGGGAGCAAGCGUUGUCCGGAAUCAUUGGGCGUAAAGCGCGCGUAGGUGGCCUCAUAAGUCCGCUGUGAAAGUCCAAGGCUCAACCUUGGAAAGCCGGUGGAUACUGUGAGGCUAGAGUACGGAAGAGGCGAGUGGAAUUCCUGGUGUAGCGGUGGAAUGCGCAGAUAUCUGGAGGAACAUCGGUGGCGAAGGCGACAUCCUGGACCGGUAUUGACGCUGAGGCGCGAAAGCCAGGGGAGCAAACGGG
rnacentral:rRNA from 1 species